rnacentral:rRNA from 1 species
GAUGAACGCUGGCGGCGUGCCUAACACAUGCAAGUCGAACGGAGUCCAGCCUUUAAGACCUUCGGGUCAAAGAGGGGAAGACUGAGUGGCGGACGGGUGAGUAACACGUGGGCAACCUGGCUCAUAGAGGGGGAUAACAGAGAGAAAUUUCUGCUAAUACCGCAUAAGCACACACUGCCGCAUGGCAGAGGGUGAAAAGAGAAUCGCUAUGAGAUGGACCCGCGUCUGAUUAGCCAGUUGGCAGGGUAAGAGCCUACCAAAGCGACGAUCAGUAGCCGAUCUGAGAGGAUGAACGGCCACAUUGGGACUGAGACACGGCCCAAACUCCUACGGGAGGCAGCAGUGGGGGAUAUUGCACAGUGGGGGGAACCCUGAUGCAGCGACGCCGCGUGAGUGAAGAAGUAUUUCGGUAUGUAAAGCUCUAUCAGCAGGGAAGAUAAUGACAGUACCUGAAUAAGAAGCCCCGGCUAACUACGUG